rnacentral:rRNA from 1 species
CCUACGGGAGGCAGCAGUGGGGAAUAUUGCACAAUGGGGGAAACCCUGAUGCAGCGACGCCGCGUGAGUGAAGAAGUAAUUCGGUAUGUAAAGCUCUAUCAGCAGGGAAGAAAAUGACGGUACCUGAGUAAGAAGCCCCGGCUAACUACGUGCCAGCAGCCGCGGUAAUACGUAGGGGGCAAGCGUUAUCCGGAUUUACUGGGUGUAAAGGGAGCGUAGACGGCAGUACAAGUCUGGAGUGAAAGGCGGGGGCUUAACCCCCGAACUGCUCUGGAAACUGUGCGGCUGGAGUGCAGGAGAGGUAAGUGGAAUUCCUAGUGUAGCGGUGAAAUGCGUAGAUAUUAGGAGGAACACCAGUGGCGAAGGCGGCUUACUGGACUGUAACUGACGUUGAGGCUCGAAAGCGUGGGGAGCAAACAGGAUUAGAUACCCCGGUAGUC